CCCUUAGAUGUUCUGGGCCGCACGCGCGCUACACUGAUGCAUUCAACGAGUCUAAAACCUGCUCUGAUAGGGGUGGGUAAUCUUUUGAAUGUGCAUCGUGAUUGGGAUAGAUGAUUGCAAUUUUUCAUCUUCAACGAGGAAUGCCCAGUAAACGCAAGUCAUCAGCUUGCAUUGAUUACGUCCCUGCCCUUUGUACACACCGCCCGUCGCUCCUACCGAUCGAAUGAUCCGAUGAAUAUCAUGGAUUGAGGAUGCAAGUAGGUUCGCCUAUCUUCAUCUUCGAGAAGUGAAGUAAAUCUUAUCAUUUAGAGGAAGGAGAAGUCGUAACA
rnacentral:rRNA from 1 species